GACGAACGCUGGCGGCGUGCUUAACACAUGCAAGUCAUACGAGAAAAGGGUAGCAAUAUCCUGAGUAAAGUGGCGCACGGGUGAGUAACACGUAGGCAAUCUGCCUUUAGGACGGGAACAACUCAGCGAAAGUUGAGCUAAUACCCGAUAAUGCAGCGGCUCCGCAUGGAGACAGUUGUUAAACCCCGCAAGGGGCCUAUUGAUGAGCCUGCGUCUGAUUAGCUAGUUGGUGAGGUAACGGCUCACCAAGGCGACGAUCAGUAGCUGGUCUGAGAGGAUGAUCAGCCACACUGGAACUGAGACACGGUCCAGACUCCUACGGGAGGCAGCAGUGAGGAAUAUUGCGCAAUGGGGGAAACCCUGACGCAGCAACGCCGCGUGGGUGAAGAAGGCUUUCGGGUUGUAAAGCCCUGUCAGGUGGGAAGAAACCUCUGCAAAUGAAUAGUUUGCGGAACUGACGGUACCACCAAAGGAAGCACCGGCUAACUCCGUGCCAGCAGCCGCCGUAAAAC
rnacentral:rRNA from 1 species